AGACCCGAAACCCGGUGAUCUAGCCAUGGGCAGGUUGAAGGUUGGGUAACACUAACUGGAGGACCGAACCGACUAAUGUUGAAAAAUUAGCGGAUGACCUGUGGCUGGGGGUGAAAGGCCAAUCAAACCGGGAGAUAGCUGGUUCUCCCCGAAAGCUAUUUAGGUAGCGCCUCGUGAAUUCAUCUCCGGGGGUAGAGCACUGUUUCGGCUAGGGGGCCAUCCCGGCUUACCAACCCGAUGCAAACUGCGAAUACCGGAGAAUGUUAUCACGGGAGACACACGGCGGGUGCUAACGUCCGUCGUGAAGAGGGAAACAACCCAGACCGCCAGCUAAGGUCCCAAAGUCAUGGUUAAGUGGGAAACGAUGUGGGAAGGCCCAGACAGCCAGGAUGUUGGCUUAGAAGCAGCCAUCAUUUAAAGAAAGCGUAAUAGCUCACUGGUCGAGUCGGCCUGCGCGGAAGAUGUAACGGGGCUAAACCAUGCACCGAAGCUGCGGCAGCGACACUGUGUGUUGUUGGGUAGGGGAGCGUUCUGUAAGCCUGUGAAGGUGUGUCGUGAGGCAUGCUGGAGGUAUCAGAAGUGCGAAUGCUGACAUAAGUAACGAUAAAGCGGGUGAAAAGCCCGCUCGCCGGAAGACCAAGGGUUCCUGUCCAACGUUAAUCGGGGCAGGGUGAGUCGACCCCUAAGGCGAGGCCGAAAGGCGUAGUCGAUGGGAAACGGGUUAAUAUUCCCGUACUUGGUGUUACUGCGAAGGGGGGACGGAGAAGGCUAUGUUGGCCGGGCGACGGUUGUCCCGGUUUAAGUGUGUAGGUGUGUGUUCCAGGUAAAUCCGGUUCACUUUAACACUGAGGCGUGACGACGAGGCACUACGGUGCUGAAGCAACAAAUGCCCUGCUUCCAGGAAAAGCCUCUAAGCAUCAGGUAACAUCAAAUCGUACCCCAAACCGACACAGGUGGUCAGGUAGAGAAUACCAAGGCGCUUGAGAGAACUCGGGUGAAGGAACUAGGCAAAAUGGUGCCGUAACUUCGGGAGAAGGCACGCUGACACGUAGGUGAAGUGAUUUACUCAUGGAGCUGAAGUCAGUCGAAGAUACCAGCUGGCUGCAACUGUUUAUUAAAAACACAGCACUGUGCAAACACGAAAGUGGACGUAUACGGUGUGACGCCUGCCCGGUGCCGGAAGGUUAAUUGAUGGGGUCAGCGCAAGCGAAGCUCCUGAUCGAAGCCCCGGUAAACGGCGGCCGUAACUAUAACGGUCCUAAGGUAGCGAAAUUCCUUGUCGGGUAAGUUCCGACCUGCACGAAUGGCGUAAUGAUGGCCAGGCUGUCUCCACCCGAGACUCAGUGAAAUUGAACUCGCUGUGAAGAUGCAGUGUACCCGCGGCAAGACGGAAAGACCCCGUGAACCUUUACUAUAGCUUGACACUGAACAUUGAGCCUUGAUGUGUAGGAUAGGUGGGAGGCUUUGAAGUGUGGACGCCAGUCUGCAUGGAGCCGACCUUGAAAUACCACCCUUUAAUGUUUGAUGUUCUAACGUGGACCCGUUACCCGGGUUGCGGACAGUGUCUGGUGGGUAGUUUGACUGGGGCGGUCUCCUCCUAAAGAGUAACGGAGGAGCACGAAGGUUGGCUAAUCCUGGUCGGACAUCAGGAGGUUAGUGCAAUGGCAUAAGCCAGCUUGACUGCGAGCGUGACGGCGCGAGCAGGUGCGAAAGCAGGUCAUAGUGAUCC
rnacentral:rRNA from 2 species